rnacentral:rRNA from 1 species
CCUACGGGGUGCAGCAGUGGGGAAUAUUGAACAAUGGGCGAAAGCCUGAUCCAGCCAUGCCGCGUGUGUGAAGAAGGCCUUCGGGUUGUAAAGCACUUUCAGUGGGGAAGAAAGCCUUGGGGCUAAUACCCUCGAGGAAGGACAUCACCCACAGAAGAAGCACCGGCUAACUCCGUGCCAGCAGCCGCGGUAAUACGGAGGGUGCGAGCGUUAAUCGGAAUUACUGGGCGUAAAGCGCGCGUAGGCGGUCUGAUAAGCCGGUUGUGAAAGCCCCGGGCUCAACCUGGGAACGGCAUCCGGAACUGUCAGGCUAGAGUGCAGGAGAGGAAGGUAGAAUUCCCGGUGUAGCGGUGAAAUGCGUAGAGAUCGGGAGGAAUACCAGUGGCGAAGGCGGCCUUCUGGACUGACACUGACGCUGAGGUGCGAAAGCGUGGGUAGCAAACAGGAUUAGAUACCCUAGUAGUC